GUUUUUUGGGCUGGGCAAAUCUCUAUCCAGAGAUGUCCAGAAGCAUCCCCUGGUGGCACAGAGACAUGGUCUGGGGUGGUCCAAAAAGGAUUUCUGGGUAUAAUCCCAGCCCCAAAUCCAGUUUUUUAUUGGGGUGCAUACAGUUAGCAGAGUGGCUGGGGUGCUGUCUGUUGGCAACCUGGCAUGGCCAAACGGUGCUUUGGGCCGGGCAAGUCUCUGGUCACAGAUGUCCACGCCAGUCCCCUGGUGAUGCAGAGGUAUUCUGAUGGGUGGCCCAAGCAGAAUUUCUAGCCAUAAUCCCAG